UGGGGAAUAUUGCACAAUGGGGGAAACCCUGAUGCAGCAACGCCGCGUGAGUGAUGAAGGGCCUUCGGGUUGUAAAGCUCUGUCUUUGGGGACGAUAAUGACGGUACCCAAGGAGGAAGCCACGGCUAACUACGUGCCAGCAGCCGCGGUAAUACGUAGGUGGCAAGCGUUGUCCGGAUUUACUGGGCGUAAAGGAUGCGUAGGCGGAUAUUUAAGUGAGAUGUGAAAUACCCGGGCUCAACUUGGGUGCUGCAUUUCAAACUGGAUAUCUAGAGUGCAGGAGAGGAAAGUGGAAUUCCUAGUGUAGCGGUGAAAUGCGUAGAGAUUAGGAAGAACAUCAGUGGCGAAGGCGACUUUCUGGACUGUAACUGACGCUGAGGCAUGAAAGCGUGGGGAGCAAACAGGAUUAGAUACCCUGGUAGUCCACGCUAAACGAUGAAUACUGAGGUGUGGGAGGGUCCAAACCUUUCCGUGCCGCAGUUAACACAAUAAGUAUUCCGCCUGGGGAGUACGUCGCAAGAUUAAAACUUAAAG
rnacentral:rRNA from 1 species